AUACUUACGUGGCAGGGGAGAAAUACCAUGAUCAUGAAAGUUGUUUUCUCAGGGCAGGACCUAUCUAUUGCACUCUGGAUGUGCUGACCCCUGUGAUUUCCCCAAAUGUGGGAAACUUAACUGCAUAAUUUGUGUUAAUAGGGGACUGUGUUUGCUACUUUAA